rnacentral:sRNA from 1 species
UUAUCAGCUUUGCUUUCUUUCGGUCACUUAAACAUAAGUUGUUGCGAGUUUAAUAUACUAGGAUGGAGAUCACAAAACUGCCAGGUCAACACAUGUAAAGGGAGUCACGCGUAUUCAUUCUGAACUUCAUCGGAAGAGUAAAAUCUGGCGGGAUUUCCAUCGUGUCAACAACAUUUUAGAACUUCACUUGAAAAAUUGUCUAGGGAAAUCGACUUUAGAAUGGAAAAGGGUGGCGCCCAAGCACCAGUAAAUUGUGAUCUGUGCGAAUCGGAUUCCGUUGCUAACUGGAAAUGCACGGACUGCCAACAGAAAUUAUGUGAUCCGUGUCACAAUUACCACCUAAAACUCGCCGGGACCAAGCACCAUAACAUCGUCUCUCUGGCGGAGUCCUAUUCUCAAGGUGAAGGUCAAAACAUCGCCCUCGAUGAGAAGGCGGGAAAUACAACUGCGAUCGCAGGCGGGACGAAACAUCCUAAAAUUAAGGAAAUUAUGGAACAGGUAGAUAAAAAAGAGAACGAAUUGUCUUCGUUCGAUCUCGUUGUUCAGGAGUGUCAAGAUUUUCAUAAUAAAUACGACAAAGCAACAAUCGAAAACAAAGCUGAAAUUUCUGAGAUAAGUAAGAAACUGAAGGAAGACAUCGACCGUAUGGAAAAAGAAAUGCUACAGACUGUUGACGACAAAUCGAAACCCGACAAAACCGCCAUUGAACAAAUGAUCAAGGAUAAUCAAGAAACCAAAGAGAAGCAUAUAAAACAGUUAAGAUAUAUCAAGCGACUGUUAACUACUCUAGAUGAUGCUGAUGAUGAUUCGACCGUCGAACAAUUUGCCAAAGUUUCUUGAUAUGUAGUUUUUGUAUUAAUAAUAAUAAAAAAAACUAGUCCAUGCAUGAUGUUCCGAUUUUUGAAGAAUCCUAAGAUCAUCACAUCUUACUAAUGUUUAUUGUAUAAACAUAAAUAUAAUUGAAUAAAAGAUGUUCUUUU